rnacentral:lncRNA from 1 species
UUUAGUUAUUUUUUAACUCCAUGGAUCCCAAGCUUUGAUUUUUGUUUUCCAAACAAAUUGCAUUUAUAAAUAAUAAUUUUUAUUUAUAAUCAACAGACAUCUAGGCUUGCUGUCAAGGCUUCUGAUCAACAUGAGAUGACCGCCGUGUGGUAAACUGAUGAACCCCGACCCUGAUCAACAUGAGAUGGCCGCCGUGUGGUAAACUGAUGAACCCUGACCCAUUAGGCUUUGGCUACAGAAUGUGGAAAUAAGUUGUGUUACUACAUGUGUGUAAUCCUACGGUGCAGGACACCGGCCGGGAGGUUCCAUAGAGUGAUGGGUUGUGCAGGACGCCCUGCUCCUGUGGUUUGCAGCCCCGGCCUUCUCUUCGAGGAUGCCUCUGCUCUUCUGCCUCACACUUGGAUUGGACCUUCUUCAGCACAGCCAGUGGCUGAGGCUUCCUCCCUGGGGCUCAGUGGAGCAGGACAGAUGCUGCAUCAAACUCUUCCAUUGGGUUCCAGUCUUGUUCCAGUCAUGCCCUUGAGCCUCUAAAGCUCCUAGGUAAGAGACUAGCAGCUGACAGCACUUCCCACUUGAUUUGGGUGGACUCCAGCCUCCCAGCAACAAU